CGCCCCCCGUCCCCGCUCACUCUGGCUCGGGGGUUUCUGCCUGUCUCUCCGCCUCCCCCGAGGUCCAGUUCUGCCCGCCGCCCCGGGCCAUUUCGGCGGCCUCGGGCGGCUCGGCUGCGGUGUCGGCGAUAGCGGCACCGAUUCACAGUGAUGGGACAAUAACCAGAACAUCAAUGGAAAAAGGGAAGAUAAUGUCACCAACCGAGAGACUGCCAGUCACCUGGUACCUGCCAUUAUGGCCCCGGGCCACAACAUACAGAUGCAUUCCCAGGUGAUAUUUCUGGAGUUGUGCUAUCCAAAGGAGGACCCUAAGUGCCCCCGGACUGUCUCUGCUCAUGGGAAGAGAGCCAGCCACAGCUACACGCCACUGUGGGAGUAUGAGGGAGAGCUGGAGUACCCAAAGCCCAGGGUGAGGCAUUGGAACAAGCCUGGGUCCAUUGGGAAAGUUUUGGGGUGUCUUUCCACUAUAACUAGUUGUGCGCAUUUGGUGACAUUGCUGGAGUCAGGAAGGGCAUAACCAUCAUGAUCCCUCACGUUCUGUCGGCCUUUCCAGUCUACAAAGCCCUUCCCUCCCAACAACUCGGAGGUAUGGUGGAGCUGCUCUUCCUCUGCUGAUUUUACAGAGAAGACAAUUCGGGCCGCGGCUGUGACUUGUCCUAGAUCCCACAGUUUUGCCACUUACAACCACGAGCAGGCCCCAACUUGUGCAGGCUUCCAUUUCCUAGUCUAAAAAAGGGGGCUUCCAAGACCUCCUCUCAUUCAAAACUCUGUGACCUCUGGCUUAUGAGGUACUUUGUCUCCACACAAUUCUGUGAUGCCCCUCACGUGGGGUUCGGAGAAGAGAGUGAGCUGGCUGCGAUCACCCACCGAGCGAGUCAGUCUUCCACAAGCCCAGCUGGUGCUCUUUCCCCUGUGAAAUUGUGCCCGGGUUUGCAGCUUCAGGAGGUGAAGCCACCCCAGGUUACUUUGUGACCUUGGAGGAAGUGCCGCCCCUUCCUGAGCCUCAGUUACUUCACGCAGGAGAUGAGGGAGUGGGGCUAAAUGAGUUAUUCCACAUUCAACAAGCAUUUAUUGAGUGCUUCCUGUGCACCAGUUUUUUAAAAAAGUCUCUGGACUCCAGGAGCUUAGAUUCUAAUGGGAGAGACAAGACGGAGGAGGCCCAUAGGAAGGGAGGGAUUCUAGAAGCUGAUGUCAGGAGGGAGCAGCCCAUGAACACUCUCCAAGAUGGCUUCAAGGACCACUCCGUGACUGAGAAAUUUUUUAAAUGAUUUUUUUCUUAUAAGGCAAAUCAUAUUUACAGGAGUUUAGACAAUGACCCUCCAAAGACUUUCUCCGAUGGUUGCCUCAUCGUGGCCUGGGAUGACCCUGAGGUUCAUGCCCAAAGAACACAAGCUCUGAUGGGUGGAGCAGGCUGCAAAUACUUCAGAUAUGGCCCUUGAAAUGGGCUGUGUCCAUCAUCCAAGGACCAGUCUAAUGUCCUCCCCCCAGUCAAACUGGCAAAAACUCAAAAAUGGUAGAGUCCAGUGUUGGAUGGGGCCGUGAUGGAGCUGUGAACUGGUGCGACACUUUUCUAAAUCAAUUUCUAAUUAUGUAAAGAUCACUCAUUCCCUUUCAUCCCACUCUUGGGUUUUAUACACUUGAGGCAAAUAACAGAAAUAAAAGAUUUGCAAACCAUAUAGAAAACAUUCAUAACAAUCUUAUUUAAGAUAGCAAAAAGCUGGAAACAAAAAGUAUGCUCACUGACCACAGAAUGGCCAGAUUCUGGCAUAAGAAUGAAUAACUAAGCAUUUUUUAAGCACUGUGCUAAGCUUGGGGGAUAUUGUCAGACGAGUCAGACAGUCCCCACUCUCAAGGAUCUCCCAUGGUAUACAGGUCAGUGCAGUUCCGGGGUGAAUGGCAAGAUUCCAUGGUCUGUCCCCUGGGUGCCUCAGCCAGGUAGCUGGUAAUGAAGCUGCUUUUGUGGCACUUCCAUGAUAAAACCAUCUCUUCUUCUGAUGUUGAACCAUCUGGCAAUGCCAAGGACUCUGAUGGUGAGAAGUAGGGAUGUUAAGGAAUAAUGAACAUGAAAAAUUCAGAGAAAUGUGGGAAGACUUAAAGGAGGUGAUGCGGAGUGAAGUAGGGCCAAGGGAGCCACCUACACAAUGGGGGCAUGUGACUGUGACAGUGCAAACAAAGACCACACUGAAAGGCGACAACCUCGGGUCAAAGACAAUGGGCAAGGCUGGUACCAAUCAAAGGCGAGGCACAUAUCCUCCCUUUCUUUUAACAAAUGAAAGUCACUGAAGUACAAAGAGAUAGAUGCUCAUGUUAAUGGGUGGUUGCUUCAAAUCUUGGACUGUUGGGUGGGUGGUGAGUGUGUUGUGUCAGAAAUGAGAAGGCAGGAGGCAAUCGGCCAGUGCCUUUGUUGGGCACCAGCGGCUCCAGAGUGGAAGGGACAGGACCUGCUUCAGGAGAAGCCCCACCCUCCUGCCUUCCCCCACCUGGCUCUUUUGAAGUGAUGAAUUUAGUUAAACAACAACCCUUUGCUAUUCCCCCCUCUAGUCCGCCUGAGCCAAAGCUCUGUGGCCAUUGCCAGGUAACUCGAACACACAGACUCCAUUUCCUGGGACUCGUCUUCCUCUCAGAGGCUCUGCACACAGCCCCGCCACCCUUCACUCAUGGUAAAUGUUUUCUCUAAACUUUUACCAGGUGGCCACCCUUCCCAGCCUGGGGCACUGCACCAAGCGGGAGCUGAAUGACAGCCUGCCCCUUGGGGAUGAUCACAAUGACCUGGGGGAGGAGAACGGCAGGGAAGCAAGUCUCCACCCACACAGGCGUGAGCUUCGCAGGUGGCAGGCAUCUAAAGCCCACCUCGGUCUGGCUGCUGCCGCUCACCCUUGCAGCCUUAUUUCACGUGGCUUGGGUUUGUUCUGUGUGUGAUUUGAACCCAAACCUUCUUUAAUAUGUUGUGUGAAUGAGAACUAUUCGUAUUGUUACUGAAAGUAUAAGAGGAAAACAAUGAAAAGUUCUUUGAUCUCCAGGCUUGCUCUGCAGAAUUGGGCAAUGGAAUGAGCGAUCCAGAUGUUCCUCCAUCCCAAUUCCACUGACUAAGCCACUUCCUGGGCCCUCACCACCCUCAAAACUUGGCUCAUGAUGCAUUUUUACUUGCCCUUCCUCACAUGGCCUGGGGCCUUAUCCCCAAGGGCCUGCUUUAUGUUAAUGAGAUGGAAGGGCUCAGGAGACACUUCAAAGAGCUGACACCAGAGGGCACCCUGACCUGCUGCUUUCCUAAUUCCCUGAGCAGCAGAAACUCCCAAUGGUCCCCUGUCUCCAAGGCAAAAACCGACUAAUUUCCUUUAAGAAAAUCCCAGGGGGGCAGCUAGGUGGCGCAGUGGAUAAAGCACCAGCCCUGGAUUCAGGAGUACCUGAGUUCAAAUCCAGCCUCAGACACUUGACACUUACUAGCUGUGUGACUCUGGGCAAGUCACUUAACCCCCAUUGCCCCACAAAAAAAAAAAAGAAAAAAGAAAAAAAGAAAAUCCCAGAGUGGAAAGGCACCUCAGGAUUGUUCUAGUUCACCCCAUCCCUGAACAGAAAUCCCCUCUACAAAGUCUGGCAAGUGACUCUCCAGCGAGUGCUUGCCAACCUCCCGAAAUGGGGGGUUCAUUCCCUCUGGAGGCGGCCCAUCCUCUUGUGGAUGCCUGUCAGGAAGCUGGGCUGGCUGGCUUGGUGGUGGGGAUUUGGUGCAGCACAGUGCUCCUCUUUCCGCUGUCGGGACCGAACUGAACAAAGAGAAUUCCUUUUCCCAUGAGACCGCUCCUCUGCCCUCCUACUUCUCCUUCAGCGCAUUACCCACUAGCAUCUUUAGGCCUCAUUUCCUCUUGGUUGCCCAUCUCGAGGCCAAUAAUACGACACAGUGAAGGGUGCUGAGCAUCCAUCCGCCACGUGGGUGUGAUAUCAGGAGGCCAGGGCCUUCCUUCCAGUAUUUCAAUCGGCCUGAAAUGAAGUGACAGCGAACAUUCAGAGGGGAUAGUGACAUAUACACAGAAGGAGAUGCACGCUACUCAGCAGCCUUGUGCCAAAGUGGAACAGGCUAUUUUGGUAGCUAGCUGUGUGACCCUGGGCAAGUCACUUCACUCUGCUUGCCUCAGUUUCCUCACCUGUAAAAUGAGCUGGAGAAGGAAAUGGCAAACAGCUCUAAGAUCUCUGCCAA